UAGGGAAUCUUGCGCAAUGGGCGAAAGCCUGACGCAGCGACGCCGCGUGCGGGACGAAGGCCCUCGGGUUGUAAACCGCUUUCAGCAGGGACGAAGCGAAAGUGACGGUACCUGCAGAAGAAGGUCCGGCCAACUACGUGCCAGCAGCCGCGGUAAUACGUAGGGACCGAGCGUUGUCCGGAUUCAUUGGGCGUAAAGAGCUCGUAGGCGGCCACUCAAGUCGAAUGUGAAACCUCGAGGCUCAACCUCGAGCCUGCAUUCGAUACUGGGCGGCUAGAGUCUGGUAGGGGGAUCUGGAAUUCCUGGUGUAGCGGUGGAAUGCGCAGAUAUCAGGAGGAACACCGGUGGCGAAGGCGGGAUCCUGGGCCAGUACUGACGCUGAGGAGCGAAAGCGUGGGGAGCAAACAGGAUUAGAUACCCUGGUAGUCCACGCCGUAAACGAUGGGCGCUAGGUGUGGGAGGUCAUCGACUCCUUCCGUGCCGCAGCUAACG
rnacentral:rRNA from 1 species